UCAGUUGUUACUUCAACAAUUGGUGGAUUGGCUAGCUUUACCACACGCAAAGCCAACUAUGUUGGAUGCAAAACCGUCCUUCCAGACGAUAGUGCUGUAUGCAAAUUUUGCAAGCCGAAAGAAUCGGAGUUCUACCAGAGGGAAAUUGGCCAACUUAUGCUCUCGAAGAGAAGUUUAAUCGUUUAUGGACAGAAUUUAAACGGUGCCGAGGAAAUCUCAACGAAGAGAUUCUUUGUUCCAACCGAGAUUGCCCCAUCUUUUAUAUGAGGACAAAAGUUAGAAAAGAUCUCACGGAACAGGAUAAACUUAUGAAAAGAUUCGGCCUACCCUGACAACCUACCGCUCUCGUCAAUGAUGGUGCAUACAGUCUCGUAGGGGGCUAGUCGCUAGGUGGCUCAGGUGAUGUGCUGAGCUGAGCUGCUGAUGGCAACAUUUAACAUGGCGUCGUAGCGGCUGGUUAUAUCACGGCAGCCGAACGUAGCAGACCUUCCUUUUUGUAGGUGAAAUUCAAGGGAGGAACUGCAAAUGCUCGGCGCCAUCUUGUACGAACGAUGUGGUCUGGCGAACACCUUGCCAAGGUGACCAUGCAUUACUUUCGAGUGUAUUUAAGUUGCAAGUCGGUAGAUUUGCUCCGCAGUUUUGCCGGAUACCAGCAUCCUGCUUCGCGAGAACUACUCUACGUUGUUCUGGGAGGGCUUAGACGAACAUCUGAAUCCGAUUUUGAAGAAGUCUUGCAUCGAUGGACACUGACGAAAUAUAGGAAGCUGCACAUGAAUGUUGGGUAUUUUAUCAUAAGUAGAAUACAGAAAGAUUCUGUAGUAGUAGAUCUCUUUAGUUGGGUAUUGAAAUUGGCUGUGGUGUGUCUGGGGUUCGAUGGGGUCUCAGUUGCAUUUGAUCCUACUUGUUAUUUAUCCCUGCCAAUGCCAGUCGAAAAGGAAGUACCAGUUGACCUGUAUCUGGCUUACAUGGAUCUUUUAGCAGAAAAUUUUCUGCUUUCAAGGGAUUCGAAGAGUUUGCAAAAUAUUAUGUCUCUAGGAUUCCACAGUUUUACGUAAUUCAAUUGACAAGAAAUUUAUACUAAUUCUUGUUUAUUUUUCUAAAGGCAGAUUCGUAAUUAUAAAGAAUUGGGAAAGAAAUUUGACGGAGGCUCAGUGCCAAAAAAAUUAUGGUAGUUGGAAUGAUUACCGAAGCUCUUCGGAUUCGUUUAUUUCACGCGUUAUGCGGGUCAUGCAGAUACUAUGAUCAGCAGAGAAGGUUAAAAGUGCGCUGCCCGGAAAGCAAAUUUGGGGUAAAAGAAAAAAACUUAUUCCAACUAGUAAGCCAUUUCCAAAUUCAACCAACAAAAAAGUACACAGUGAAAUUUGCUUGACAAUUACUUCCACGUAUCAUGGUAUUUAUCUAUCAGUUGAAUUGUAUGGUUAAUUUUCUGUUCGUGUAACCUCAUUUCCUCUUGAAUCACCUGCGCCUACGUUGACGAUGAUACCUGUACCGAAGUGCUGGAAACUAAAAUUAAUUUUUCUUACAAUCUGGUUUCAGGCUAUCUUCAUAAUUUUUUAAUAGUUUUGCGUUUAUUGAUGAGUCCACAAGCUCUUAGCUGAUUUCCUCCUUUAGAUACCGCCUGUCGACGAUUUGACAGCCUCACACAAUUAAAAAACGCCAAAGUGAGCUCGUCCGAGCAGAAAAGUGACGGCGUAUCCAUUUAAUUGAAAAUAGGCACAAGAUAACGCACAAUUGGCGUCCUUGUCUCAAUGGAGAAAUUUUGCCGUGGAACUUGUAACCGAAAUACCAUUGCAGCUGUUCAAAAAAAAGAAAAGUGUAUUAUCAUACAGAUGUUGACUAGCUAAUAAUCCAGAGAUAUGUCAACUUGCGAAAUUUAUAGAUGUGUGUGAAGCGCAAUCAGCAUCUUUGUUGAACUGUGAUCCCAAAUCAUGUAUUUUCCUAGAAACAUUUGGGUUUUUGGAUAAAUAAAACAGUGAAA